GUGUUUGCUUCAGCAGCAUAUAUACUAAAAUUAUCAAUACAGAGAAGAUUAGUGUGACCCCUGUACAACGAUGAUGUGACAUUUAUGAAGCGUUAAAAAAAAAA
ensembl:snRNA U6 U6 spliceosomal RNA